rnacentral:rRNA from 1 species
GACGAACGCUGGCGGCGUGCUUAACACAUGCAAGUCGAACGGUAAGGCCCUUUCGGGGGUACCCGAGUGGCGAACGGGUGAGUAACACGUGGGUGAUCUGCCCUGCACUUUGGGAUAAGCCUGGGAAACUGGGUCUAAUACCGGAUAGGACUACGCGAUGCAUGUCGUGUGGUGGAAAGCUUUUGCGGUGUGGGAUGGGCCCGCGGCCUAUCAGCUUGUUGGUGGGGUGAUGGCCUACCAAGGCGACGAUGGGUAGCCGGCCUGAGAGGGUGUCCGGCCACACUGGGACUGAGAUACGGCCCAGACUCCUACGGGAGGCAGCAGUGGGGAAUAUUGCACAAUGGGCGCAAGCCUGAUGCAGCGACGCCGCGUGGGGGAUGACGGCCUUCGGGUUGUAAACCCCUUUCAGCACAGACGAAGCGUAAGUGACGGUAUGUGCAGAAGAAGCACCGGCCAACUACGUG